rnacentral:rRNA from 1 species
GUGGGGAAUAUUGGACAAUGGGCGAAAGCCUGAUCCAGCAAUGCCGCGUGAGUGAUGAAGGCCUUAGGGUUGUAAAGCUCUUUUACCCGGGAUGAUAAUGACAGUACCGGGAGAAUAAGCUCCGGCUAACUCCGUGCCAGCAGCCGCGGUAAUACGGAGGGAGCUAGCGUUGUUCGGAAUUACUGGGCGUAAAGCGCACGUAGGCGGCGAUUCAAGUCAGAGGUGAAAGCCCGGGGCUCAACCCCGGAAUAGCCUUUGAAACUGGAAAACUAGAAUCUUGGAGAGGUCAGUGGAAUUCCGAGUGUAGAGGUGAAAUUCGUAGAUAUUCGGAAGAACACCAGUGGCGAAGGCGACUGACUGGACAAGUAUUGACGCUGAGGUGCGAAAGCGUGGGGAGCAAACAGGAUUAGAAACCCGUGUAGUCC